AACUGUGAACUCGCGGGGAUG
rnacentral:miRNA from 1 species